GUCCCCGGCGUCCGGGCGCCCUGCAUGGAUCCCCCACCCCAGCUCCUGCUCCCCGGCGGCGGCCGGUGGGCAGAAAGACCGAAACCCACUCACGGCCGCCUGCCGAAUCGCGGCUCUGCUGUUUGUGGGGCGUGCUAGAAACGUGGUCCUAAAAAGAAUGGCGUCCAUUUACAUAAUGCUUUGUUUGCGUUUCGCAAGUUUCUUUCGGUUAAAGCCACAGAAACCCCACCUCCUGCCCUUGUGUCGUUUCCACCGCGGCACCCUUUUCCGACAUUAGAAACAAUAGUGUACGCCUGUGGAGGCCUCGUUUGUUCAGGGGCUGCCGGCCAGGGCUUCAGGACGUUUCUGCGGCUUUCCCCGCGCGGCCUGGGCUCCCGCGGCUGCUUUUCGGGCCCAUGGGCGCAGCCACUGCGCCAGGCUCAAGGGGGGCGGCCCCGUCAGGGCCCGCCAUCUUGGAAGGCCUUUUUUGCCGGUUCUUCCCGCUGAGGAAGUGUCGCUCAAGACGCUGGCCUAUGAGUUGUGAUUUCUGCCUUUUCCCCUUCCUCCUUGGGCUAAGCCAGACCAGAAAGGGCCCCGUGCGCAACGUGCUUCACAAUCUCUCAGGGAAAGCGGCUAACGUGGCGCUACUCCGCCUCCCCUGUUCCUUACCCUUGGGGCGGCCGCCAUGUUUCCUGAACACAAAAUGGCGACACGUGGUUAGCAUUCGUCGCCAACGAGAAAUUGGGGUCGGCCCGAAAGCUCUAGAAUGCACCCCUCUUCCUCCCCGGGGCCUUCCACCUCCGCGAGUUUUAUGACUUAAAAAAGCCCACAGGCUGGUCUGAAGGUCGGAGGCCUAAUUUUAACGCGUUUUCCUCCCUUUAAUUUGAAACGGGAACGCGAAUGACUGUAAAAUGUGGGCACAAUAUUUAAUCUCUCGCCUUUUUAAAGCUUAAUAGUGGAUAAUAGGGGGGCAGUAUCAAGGGAUAAUUUGGGUCCCCACAGUACCAAAGCAUUUAGAAACCUCUGUUUAAUUUAAGGAAUGAGAUAAGUUACUGCUUUUCUAGACUUCCUAGCAUGGGCUGUUGUGCUGGAGAGAACGAGAGCUACGAAGAGACUACAGUGCCUCUGACUUUUUCAUAGGACAGUUGGCCGGUGAAUCUUAUUAAUAGUUUACCACAAUUAAGUGUUCAUUUUUAGUCUAGAAGGGACAGGCGUUUAUUGUGCAUUGGCCAGUGCCAGCACAUCCGAUGCAAGGCAGUUCACCGUAUUCUAUCUUUAAUUUUUACCAUGGUCCUCUGAGGUAGGUGUUCUUAUCUCUCUCUCUCUCUCUCUCUUUUAAACAGAGGAAGACAAACAUAAAGAUGAAGUGCUUAAUUCAAGGUCACACAAUGUCGGGGAUGGACCUCCAGAUUUCCUUACUGGUGAGACGUGGUCUUGUAACACAGUGGUUAAGAAUGUGACUUUGGAGCCAGCCUGCUAGGGGCUGAAUUCUGACUCAGCCAUUUACUAACUGUGUGACCUUAGUCUGUCUAGUGACUGGUGUUGUCAUAAGAAGAGAGGGACACAGAGGGAAGAUGGCCACAUGAAGAUGGAGGCAGAGAUUGCAGUUAUGCUGCUGCAAACUAAGGAAUGGCUCUGGCCCUCCAAGGAUUGCUGAUAACCACCAGAAACUAGAAGAGACAAGGAAGGAUUCUUCCCUAGAGCCUUCAGAGGGAGCAUGGCCCUACUGACACCUGGAUUUCAAACUUGUAGCUUCCUAAACUGCAAGAGAAUAAAUUUCUGUUGUUUUAAGCCA
rnacentral:lncRNA from 1 species